GUAAGGUAUGUUUUUUGCUGAUGAUACUAAGAUAUUUAACAGGGUUGAUGGUCCAGGAGGGAUAAACCACAUGGCAAAUGAUUUAGGUAAACUAGAACAAUGGUCAGAGUUGUGGCAACUGAUAUUUAAGGUGGAUAAGUGCAAGAUAAUGCAUAUUGAACCUAAAAACCCAAGGGCAGAGUACAGAAUAUGUGAUAGAGUCCUAACCUCAAC